GAUGAACGCUGGCGGCGUGCCUAAUACAUGCAAGUCGAGCGAACAGACGAGGAGCUUGCUCCUCUGACGUUAGCGGCGGACGGGUGAGUAACACGUGGAUAACCUACCUAUAAGACUGGGAUAACUUCGGGAAACCGGAGCUAAUACCGGAUAAUAUAUUGAACCGCAUGGUUCAAUAGUGAAAGACGGUUUUGCUGUCACUUAUAGAUGGAUCCGCGCCGCAUUAGCUAGUUGGUAAGGUAACGGCUUACCAAGGCAACGAUGCGUAGCCGACCUGAGAGGGUGAACGGCCACACUGGAACUGAGACACGGUCCAGACUCCUACGGGAGGCAGCAGUAGGGAAUCGUCCGCAAUGGGCGAAAGCCUGACGGAGCAACGCCGCGUGAGUGAUGAAGGGCUGCGGAUCGUAAAACUCUGUUAUUAGGGAAGAACAAAUGUGUAAGUAACUAUGCACGUCGUGACGGUACCUAAUCAGAAAGCCACGGCUAACUACGUG
rnacentral:rRNA from 1 species